ACGGGGCCCGCACGAGCGGUGGAGCAUGUGGUUUAAUUCGAUGCAACGCGAAGAACCUUUACCUGGUCUUGACAUCCACGGAAGUUUUCAGAGAUGAGAAUGUGCCUUCGGGAACCGUGAGACAGGUGCUGCAUGGCUGUCGUCAGCUCGUGUUGUGAAAUGUUGGGUUAAGUCCCGCAACGAGCGCAACCCUUAUCGUUAGUUGCCAUCUGGUAAUGCAGGGGACUCUAGCGAAACUGCCACCGUAAGGUGAGAGGAAGUGGGGAUGACGUCAAAUCAGCACGGCCCUUAUGUCCAGGGCUACACACGUGUUACAAUGGUCGGUACAGAGGGCAGCUACCUGGUGACAGGAUGCUAAUCUCGAAAACCGGUCUCAGUUCGGAUCGAAGUCUGCAACUCGACUUCGUGAAGCUGGAUUCGCUAGUAAUCGCGCAUCAGCUAUGGCGCGGUGAAUACGUUCCCGGGCCUU
rnacentral:rRNA from 1 species